rnacentral:rRNA from 1 species
AGAGUUUGAUCAUGGCUCAGGACGAACGCUGGCGGCGUGCCUAAUACAUGCAAGUCGAACGAAGCUUUCUUUCACCGAAUGCUUACAUUCACCGAAAGAAGCUUAGUGGCGAACGGGUGAGUAACACGUAGGCAACCUGCCCAAAAGAGGGGGAUAACACUUGGAAACAGGUGCUAAUACCGCAUAACCAUGAACACCGCAUGAUGUUCAUGUAAAAGACGGCUUUUGCUGUCACUUUUGGAUGGGCCUGCGGCGUAUUAACUUGUUGGUGGGGUAACGGCCUACCAAGGUGAUGAUACGUAGCCGAACUGAGAGGUUGAUCGGCCACAUUGGGACUGAGACACGGCCCAAACUCCUACGGGAGGCAGCAGUAGGGAAUCUUCCACAAUGGACGAAAGUCUGAUGGAGCAACGCCGCGUGAAUGAAGAAGGCCUUCGGGUCGUAAAAUUCUGUUGUCAGAGAAGAACGUGCGUGAGAGUAACUGUUCACGUAUUGACGGUAUCUGACCAGAAAGCCACGGCUAACUACGUGCCAGCAGCCGCGGUAAUACGUAGGUGGCGAGCGUUGUCCGGAUUUAUUGGGCGUAAAGGGAACGCAGGCGGUCUUUUAAGUCCGAUGUGAAAGCCUUCGGCUUAACCGAAGUAGUGCAUUGGAAACUGGAAGACUUGAGUGCAGAAGAGGAGAGUGGAACCCCAUGUGUAGCGGUGAAAUGCGUAGAUAUAUGGAAGAACACCAGUGGCGAAAGCGGCUCUCUGGUCUGUAACUGACGCUGAGGUUCGAAAGCGUGGGUAGCAAACAGGAUUAGAUACCCUGGUAGUCCACGCCGUAAACGAUGAGUGCUAAGUGUUGGAGGGUUUCCGCCCUUCAGUGCUGCAGCUAACGCAUUAAGCACUCCGCCUGGGGAGUACAGUCGCAAGACUGAAACUCAAAGGAAUUGACGGGGGCCCGCACAAGCGGUGGAGCAUGUGGUUUAAUUCGAAGCAACGCGAAGAACCUUACCAGGUCUUGACAUCUUCUGACAAUUCCAGAGAUGGAACGUUCCCUUCGGGGACAGAAUGACAGGUGGUGCAUGGUUGUCGUCAGCUCGUGUCGUGAGAUGUUGGGUUAAGUCCCGCAACGAGCGCAACCCUUAUUGUCAGUUGCCAUCAUUAAGUUGGGCACUCUGGCGAGACUGCCGGUGACAAACCGGAGGAAGGUGGGGAUGACGUCAAAUCAUCAUGCCCCUUAUGACCUGGGCUACACACGUGCUACAAUGGACGGUACAACGAGUCGCUAACUCGCGAGGGCAAGCUAAUCUCUUAAAGCCGUUCUCAGUUCGGAUUGCAGGCUGCAACUCGCCUGCAUGAAGUCGGAAUCGCUAGUAAUCGCGAAUCAGCAUGUCGCGGUGAAUACGUUCCCGGGCCUUGUACACACCGCCCGUCACACCAUGAGAGUUUGUAACACCCAAAGUCGGUGGGGUAACCUUUUGGAGCCAGCCGCCUAAGGUGGGACAGAUGAUUGGGGUGAAGUCGUAACAAGGUA